rnacentral:rRNA from 1 species
UACGGAGGGUGCAAGCGUUAUCCGGAUUCACUGGGUUUAGAGGGUGCGUAGGUGGGUUGGUAAGUCAGUGGUGAAAUCCCCGAGCUUAACUUGGGAACUGCCAUUGAUACUAUCAGUCUUGAAUACCGUGGAGGUCAGCGGAAUAUGUCAUGUAGCGGUGAAAUGCUUAGAUAUGACAUAGAACACCAAUUGCGAAGGCAGCUGGCUACACGAAUAUUGACACUCAGGCACGAAAGCGUGGGGAUCAAACAGG